rnacentral:rRNA from 1 species
AACGUAGGACACAAGCGUUAUCCGGAGUUACUGGGCGUAAAGCGUACGUAGGCGGCUUUGUAAGUUAGAGGUGAAAGCCCGGGGCUCAACUCCGGAAUUGCCUUUAAGACUGCAUCGCUUGAAUCAUGGAGAGGUGAGUGGAAUUCCGAGUGUAGAGGUGAAAUUCGUAGAUAUUCGGAAGAACACCAGUGGCGAAGGCGACUCACUGGACAUGUAUUGACGCUGAGGUACGAAAGCGUGGGGAGCAAACAGG